rnacentral:rRNA from 1 species
AUUGAACGCUGGCGGCAGGCCUAACACAUGCAAGUCGAACGGUAACAGGAAGCAGCUUGCUGCUUCGCUGACGAGUGGCGGACGGGUGAGUAAUGUCUGGGAAGCUGCCUGAUGGAGGGGGAUAACUACUGGAAACGGUAGCUAAUACCGCAUAAUGUCGCAAGACCAAAGAGGGGGACCUUCGGGCCUCUUGCCAUCGGAUGUGCCCAGAUGGGAUUAGCUUGUUGGUGGGGUAACGGCUCACCAAGGCGACGAUCCCUAGCUGGUCUGAGAGGAUGACCAGCCACCCGGGAACUGAGACACGGCCCAGACUCCUACGGGAGGCAGCGGUGGGGAAUAUUGCAAAAUGGGGGCAAGCCUGAUGCAGCCAUGCCGGGUGUAUGAAGAAGGCCUUCGGGUUGUAAAGUACUUUCAGGGGGGAGGAAGGGAGUAAAGUUAAUACCUUUGCUCAUUGACGUUACCCGCAGAAGAAGCACCGGCUAACUCCGU